rnacentral:rRNA from 1 species
AGUGAACGCUGGCGGUAGGCCUAACACAUGCAAGUCGAACGGCAGCACAGUAAGAGCUUGCUCUUACGGGUGGCGAGUGGCGGACGGGUGAGGCAUACAUCGGAAUCUACUUUUUCGUGGGGGAUAACGUAGGGAAACUUACGCUAAUACCGCAUACGACCUACGGGUGAAAGCAGGGGAUCUUCGGACCUUGCGCGAUUGAAUGAGCCGAUGUCGGAUUAGCUAGUUGGCGGGGUAAAGGCCCACCAAGGCGACGCUACGUAGCUGGUCUGAGAGGAUGAUCAGCCACACUGGAACUGAGACACGGUCCAGACUCCUACGGGAGGCAGCAGUGGGGAAUAUUGGACAAUGGGCGCAAGCCUGAUCCAGCCAUACCGCGUGGGUGAAGAAGGCCUUCGGGUUGUAAAGCCCUUUUGUUGGGAAAGAAAAGCAGCAGGUUAAUACCCCGCUGUUCUGACGGUACCCAAAGAAUAAGCACCGGCUAACUUCGUG